rnacentral:rRNA from 1 species
CAUGUAGGAAUCUUCCCUAUGGCCUGGAAUAACACGAGGAAACUUAGUGCUAAUACCGGAUAAGUCUUUACAGAGAAAGCUUUAUGCACCAUUGGAUGAGCCUGCACUUGAUUAGUUUGUUGGUGGGGUAAUGGCCUACCAAGACUUUGAUCAAUAGCUGAUUUGAGAGGAUGAUCAGCCACAUUGGGACUGAGACACGGCCCAAACUCCUACGGGAGGCAGCAGUGGGGAAUCUUAGACAAUGGGCGCAAGCCUGAUCUAGCCAUGCCGCGUGAGUGACGAAGGCCUUAGGGUCGUAAA